UACGGGAGGCAGCAGUGGGGAAUAUUGCACAAUGGGGGAAACCCUGAUGCAGCCAUGCCGCGUGUAUGAAGAAGGCCUUCGGGUUGUAAAGUACUUUCGGUGAUGAGGAAGGUGGUGUAUCUAAUAGGUGCACCAAUUGACGUUAAUUACAGAAGAAGCACCGGCUAACUCCGUGCCAGCAGCCGCGGUAAUACGGAGGGUGCGAGCGUUAAUCGGAAUGACUGGGCGUAAAGGGCAUGUAGGCGGAUAAUUAAGUUAGGUGUGAAAGCCCUGGGCUCAACCUAGGAAUUGCACUUAAAACUGGUUAACUAGAGUAUUGUAGAGGAAGGUAGAAUUCCACGUGUAGCGGUGAAAUGCGUAGAGAUGUGGAGGAAUACCGGUGGCGAAGGCGGCCUUCUGGACAGAUACUGACGCUGAGAUGCGAAAGCGUGGGGAGCAAACAGGAUUAGAUACCCUGGUAGUCCACGCUGUAAACGAUGUCGAUUUGGAGUUUGUUGCCCUGAGUGAUGGGCUCCGAASCUAACGCGAUAAAUCGACCGCCUGGGGAGUACGGCCGCAAGGUUAAAACUCAAAUGAAUUGACGGGGGCCCGCACAAGCGGUGGAGCAUGUGGUUUAAUUCGAUGCAACGCGAAGAACCUUACCUGGUCUUGACAUCCACAGAAUCUUGCAGAGAUGCGAGAGUGCCUUCGGGAACUGUGAGACAGGUGCUGCAUGGCUGUCGUCAGCUCGUGUUGUGAAAUGUUGGGUUAAGUCCCGCAACGAGCGCAACCCUUAUCCUUUGUUGCCAUCGGUUAGGCCGGGAACUCAAAGGAGACUGCCGUUGAUAAAGCGGAGGAAGGUGGGGACGACGUCAAGUCAUCAUGGCCCUUACGACCAGGGCUACACACGUGCUACAAUGGCGUAUACAAAGGGAGGCGACCUCGCGAGAGCAAGCGGACCUCAUAAAGUACGUCUAAGUCCGGAUUGGAGUCUGCAACUCGACUCCAUGAAGUCGGAAUCGCUAGUAAUCGUGAAUCAGAAUGUCACGGUGAAUACGUUCCCGGGCCUUGUACACACCGCCCGUCACACCAUGGGAGUGGGUUGCA
rnacentral:rRNA from 1 species